rnacentral:rRNA from 1 species
GAGCACGUAGGUGGGUUUGUAAGUCAGAUGUGAAAGCCUUCUGUCCAACGGAAGAAUUGCAUCUGAAACUGCGAGUCUUGAGUGUAGGAGGGGAGAAUGGAACUUCUGGUGGAGCGGUGAAAUGCGUAGAUAUCAGAAGGAACUCCGGCGGCGAAAGCGAUUCUCUGGCCUAUUACUGACACUCAGUGUGCGAAAGCUAGGGGAGCAAACGGGAUUAGAUACCCCGGUAGUCCUAGCCGUAAACGAUGGGCACUAAGUAGAGGGGUUUU